ensembl:lncRNA
CCCUCCGUCCACACACAACUUUUGUAAAAGUAAGUUCAUCCAGUACAACCAGAUCAGGUACAAGAUCAAGAAUCUUCUGAGCUGCCUCGGAUGUGAAGGAAAACGUUGGCUUCCGUUAAUGGUCCUGUACUGAAAAUGGAGCGUCCCAGUUUCUUUUAUCAUCACAGCACAUUCACAAGUUUCAAAAUGGGGGGGAAAAAAAGGUCUCGACAACUGCACAAACAGGUUUUUUUUUUUCACUUUUGUUAUUUUUGUCCCAGGACUCAAUGCAUAGGAUUAUACAGUUAGAAUACAGUAUUUCAACGCGUUUUACAAAGAUUUAUAUGAUAUAGGAAACGAGAAAUAAAAAUAAUAACUGCACAGCAGUAAGAACGGUCAUUUGUCGAGUAUAGAUAGUCAUUUAUCGUACACACUGUGGAACAGCUGAGAAACACAGGGCAAAAAAUGAACACAACUGGAACAAUUUUGCGCAUAUCCAUCUACAUAAGGAUAACCUUUUGGCUUCAGACUAAUUUAGGAAUGCCAGACAUUUUCAAGGGAAACCCAAAUCACAUUGGCCACUGUUUUACAUUUAAUCAGUUUGGCUUUUUUUUUUUCUUUUUUCUUUUUUUGCCUUACCCACCAAAGUCCUACUAAGCACACACCACAGACACCCAAAGGAAAUGCACACGUCAAAAUUGCAACCAUAAAAGAAAUCUUACUGAAACAUCUUCAGCCUAUUGGCACGCAAAUGGCUGCAGCAGGGCAUCUAGCAUUUGAGACAGCACACAUAAGAUCACAAGUCCAAAUACAUUGCUGUGUCUAUAUCACUAUCAUCAUCAUAGUCACCUAGGUUACCAGUAGAAUAACUUAGAAACAAUAUAUGUAAUAUCCUAUAUAAGGCACAUUUUUGGUGAAAGAAAGGCUCUGAAAGAAGCUUCUUGCAUCAACUCUGUCAGUAAGAAAGGACUCAGCAGUAAACAACAACGGAGACAAGGAUGGAGCCUGCAGUUGGCAUGCAAUUAAGAUCAAAAGCCUCCCCUGCUGAUUCCAUUAUACAGAGUGCCACUCUGCACUGCGCUGAGUGGGCAGUGCCAAGUGCUGUUGGUCGGGAUGCCAGGGUGCCAUGCUGAGACAGCAGGCAGGCAAGCUCGAGGUCUGUGCACACCUCUCUCUAGCGAAGGCAGGAAUCAUUAACAUUCUUGGGGCUGUGGAGAGCGUCAUGCGCCGUCAAAUCCACACACCCAUGAUCAGAUACAGCGAGUACAAUUAAAUCAUCUGUCAACAGCAAGGCCUACAAUUUAGGGACGGCGUCUAAUGGCCCAAGAAAUAACCAACCUACCCUGGCGACACCUCGGUUCUGACACUGACAUAUCAAUAACCCAAUUAAUAUAACAAUUAUGUACACGACUGAACCAAACAACCC